AACGAACGCUGGCGGCAUGCCUAACACAUGCAAGUCGAACGAAGGCUUCGGCCUUAGUGGCGCACGGGUGCGUAACGCGUGGGAAUCUGCCCUUUGGUUCGGAAUAACAGCUGGAAACGGCUGCUAAUACCGGAUGAUGACGAAAGUCCAAAGAUUUAUCGCCAGAGGAUGAGCCCGCGUUGGAUUAGGUAGUUGGUGGGGUAAAGGCCUACCAAGCCGACGAUCCAUAGCUGGUCUGAGAGGAUGAUCAGCCACACUGGGACUGAGACACGGCCCAGACUCCUACGGGAGGCAGCAGUGGGGAAUAUUGGACAAUGGGCGCAAGCCUGAUCCAGCAAUGCCGCGUGAGUGAUGAAGGCCCUAGGGUUGUAAAGCUCUUUUACCCGGGAAGAUAAUGACUGUACCGGGAGAAUAAGCCCCGGCUAACUCCG
rnacentral:rRNA from 1 species